rnacentral:rRNA from 1 species
UACAGAGGUCUCAAGCGUUGUUCGGAUUCAUUGGGCGUAAAGAGCGCGUAGGCGGCCAGAUAAGUCCGGUGUGAAAGUCAAAGGCUCAACCUUUGAAUGCCGCUGGAAACUGUCUGGCUAGAGUCCGGGAGGGGCGAGUGGAAUUCCUGGUGUAGCGGUGAAAUGCGCAGAUAUCAGGAGGAACACCAAUGGCGAAGGCAGCUCGCUGGAACGGUACUGACACUGAGGCGCGAAAGCGUGGGGAGCAAACAGG